GGAACCUUUGCACUAAUUAUUAUUAAUAGUGUUCGGGUGUUUAUGAAAUUGCCAAUUUUUUUCCGUUUAUCCGAUUCAAUGCUGACCUGGAUACGAAUUCAUGUUCCAUUGAAUCGAAUACUAAUACUAUUUUUAUUUUGCGUGUUCAAGGGUUUUGUAUUUGAAAUGCAUAUUUUAGGAUUUUAAGUAUAUGAAUGUAUGUUUCUGAAUAUUUUCGUACUUUUUUAAAAACAUUUUAAAUUAAUAACG